AUUGAACGCUGGCGGCAGGCCUAACACAUGCAAGUCGAGCGGAUGAAGGGAGCUUGCUCCUGGAUUCAGCGGCGGACGGGUGAGUAAUGCCUAGGAAUCUGCCUGGUAGUGGGGGAUAACGUCCGGAAACGGGCGCUAAUACCGCAUACGUCCUGAGGGAGAAAGUGGGGGAUCUUCGGACCUCACGCUAUCAGAUGAGCCUAGGUCGGGUUAGCUAGUUGGUGGGGUAAAGGCCUACCAAGGCGACGAUCCGUAACUGGUCUGAGAGGAUGAUCAGUCACACUGGAACUGCGACACGGUCCAGACUCCUACGGGAGGCAGCAGUGGGGAAUAUUGGACAAUGGGCGAAAGCCUGAUCCAGCCAUGCCGCGUGUGUGAAGAAGGUCUUCGGAUUGUAAAGCACUUUAAGUUGGGAGGAAGGGCAGUAAGUUAAUACCUUGCUGUUUUGACGUUACCAACAGAAUAAGCACCGGCUAACUUCGUG
rnacentral:rRNA from 1 species